AUGAGCCCGGGCCUCGCCCCCGCCCGCCGGACCCCGCCGCGGCGCCGUUCUGUUCCCCGCACGAGCGGCGGCGCCUCGCCGGUGACGGCGCACCCCUAUAAUCCGUGUCCUGUGUAAUGUCAAGGAAAACAUCCAGGGAUUUACUUGUACGGACGUGGAAGUAUUCGGAGUGCUGGUAGUUCUACCAGCGCUUCAUAGCAUCAAGGACCCAGCUCCUACAGCCUGUCGUGGGUGGGAAGUACCUUUUACAUGUUCACUGCUUCAUGUUCAGGUCAAGAAACCUUCUGCUAGAGGGUAGGAGAAGCAAACAUUUAGGAAUGAAGGAAGAAUAAAAGCAGAUUGCAGUUUCCCUGCGGUCCUGUGGGGUGAAGGGUGCUGAAUAGCACUUGAAUCUUGUAACAGCAUCAGUAGAAGAGCUGUGGUGAGUGUAGGACACAGCAAGCAGUUGUUAGCAUUGAACUCUUAUAUGAGGCACUUGGACUGAGGCUAUUGAGUUUGUGGCAGCCAUGGGAGGGACAGAUCCAGAACAGAGCCACGCGUGGGUGCUGCUUGCUGACGACUGAGACCGACAAGUGCAGUUCUCUCCUGCACCCGUGUGGGACAGGCAGCAGGAAAACAAGCACGUCCCCUUGACUCCUAAUCCGGAUCUCCUCCGAUGAGUACUAAGGACGCUGCUCUCCCAGAAUGGCCUCUCAGGCCCCAGGGCAGCAGGGAGCAGUGCUGA